UUGAAAGGGAAACGAUUGAAGUCAGUCGUACGGACGGGGAAUCAGCCUUUCGAGCGUGGAUACGCGGGAUUCGGAGAGCCUUCGACCUCGCGUAUUUGAGUUCUUUUGGUGUACUUUCCCGUGACGUAGGUCAGCGUCGGUUUCGAUCGUUAUAAAAUGAUCGGGGGAAUGUGGCUUCGACCUCGGUUGAAGUGUUAUAGACCCUGUUAGAUGUGACGGUUGGGAUCGAGGAUUGCAACGGAUGCUCAAACGGGCUACCCGUCUGGCCUCUGAUACGUUACUUCGGCGUCGAAAGCGUGCUUACGAUGUGGAAGUGAGCGGUCAAAAGGUUAGAACGGGUUAAAUUCGUUAAGGAUGUUGACGUA
rnacentral:rRNA from 1 species